UUUUAUUGAGUUGGUGUCAUCCUAAUCGAGAAUUUACCAAAAGUUCAUUUUUUAAGGGUAAUUUUGUCUUUUCAUAUAAAAUAACAUUACAUAUUUUUUUAGAUUAAAUAAAAUUAGAAAUUUGUCAACUUGUUUAUAUACAAACAUCAUGUAUUAAAAAAAGGUUUAAUUUGUCCCAAGUCUUUGUAGCUUUUAGACUAUGAAUUGGCUUUAAAAUUUUAUUUUCUUAAAUAAAUAAAAAAU
rnacentral:lncRNA from 1 species